UUCGACUCGCAAGUUGACUCGGCUCCUCCC
rnacentral:piRNA from 1 species